rnacentral:misc_RNA from 1 species
GUCAUGGAGUUCGUCAAAGGCGGCGAGCUUUUCGCUAAGAUCGCCAAGGGCAGAUUCAGUGAGGAUCUCAGCCGGAAAUUCUUCCAGCAGUUGAUCUCCGCCGUUGGAUUCUGUCACACGCGUGGAAUCUACCAUCGCGAUCUGAAGCCGGAGAAUCUUCUCGUCGAUGAGAAUGGAAAUCUGAAGGUCUCUGACUUUGGUCUCAGUGCCGUAACGGAACAGAUCCGCGCCGAUGGCCU